rnacentral:piRNA from 1 species
UAUCUACUGUUCAGGCACGAGCU